GCCGCCGUGGUGAAAUUGGUAGAC
rnacentral:tRNA from 1 species